CUUUUGCAGGAGUGUCGCCUGUGCAACUGUCAGAGCUCAACAUCCAUUGUUUUGUCAACAGACUAGCUUGGGCUUCCUUCCAAGUAAAACGUUAGCUUCCUGUAUCAAUUUCUGACCAAGUUUCUCCCAGUCACCAUAGCCAUUUAUUACACAGUCACUGCAAGGCACCACAUUCCUGGAUAACUAAUACCUUAUUAAAAUACAGAAGUAAAGAAGCCAUCUUGAUGGAGAGUGAUUUUGUACAACGUCUUUUUGUUUUAUUAUCACGCCUAAGUCGGCGUGCCUCCAAUUCUAACUGAAAAGAAAUGAAAAAGGAAUCCGGAUUACAAAUUUGUUAA